rnacentral:lncRNA from 1 species
CGGUGGAGGAGGUGGAUCCGGUAACGGAGGAGGGUACGGUGAAGGCGGUGGAUAUGGAGGAGGAUACGGUGAAGGCGGCGACUGAAUGAAGAAUAUUGCAUGCAUGCAAUAUCUUGUCCGUGCUAUGUGUUUAACGUAAUUAUUAUUAUUAGUAGGAAAAAAAUGCUAGAAUAAAAAUAAUUUCCUAAAGUGUGUGAAUAAAGGAGAUGGAAAAAGCUUCUGACGUGUUUGGUUAAUUAUGUACUCUUCCAUUUUCUUGAUGUUAUUGAUGUUUUAACUUUAUGUACUAUAAGUUGUAAUUUUUCAGUUUGAUUGUUGAGAAAAAUGAAUAAUGCAUGCACGUGUGUUCUUUUUCUUCUUUUCCGUCUA